rnacentral:ncRNA from 1 species
UUUAUAAAUAAUUAUAAUUUAUUUUAUUAUAAAAUUUUAUUUAAUUAAAAAAAUAUAUGAAAUUUUAAGAUUGUUUAUUUAUUCUUAAAGGAUUUUAAUAAUUCUCAGUAUUAAAUAUUAGAUAUUAAAGGAAUUUAGAUUUAAUUAUUAAUUUUAGUAUGAACAAAAUAUGUGCCAGCAGUUGCGGUUAAACAUAAUAUGCAAAUAAAAUAAAUUGGUAAGUAGUAUUAAAUAGUAGAUAUAAAUAAAUUUUUAAAUUUAAGGUAAAAUUUUAUUUAAAAUUAUAUUUAUAAUUAUUUUAUUCUAUUAAAUUUUAGUUUAAACUAGGAUUAGAUACCCUAUUAUAAAAAUUUAAAAUUAUUUACUAAAAUUAAUAGUUAUGUUCUUUAAAUUUAAAAAAUUUGGCGGUAUUUUAGUCUUAUUAGAGGAACCUGUUUUUUAAUUGAUAAUCCACGAUUAAUUUUACUUAUUUUAAAAAUUUAUAUAUCGCUGUCAUGAAUAUAUUUAAAAAAUUUAUUUUCUUUAAUUAAUUUAUUAAUUUAUGUUAAGUCAAGAUGUAGUUUAUAAAUAAAAAAAUAAUGGGUUACAUUAAAUUAUAUUUUUGGAUUUAAAAUGAAAAUAAAUAUGAAAUUGAAUUUAAUAGUAAAUUUAUUUAUUUAAAUAAUAUGAAUAUAGAUCUAAAAUAUGUACAUAUUGCCCGUCAUUCUUAUAAAAAAUAAGACAAGUCGUAACAAAGUAAAUGUACUGGAAAGUGUAUUUAGAAAG